GAUGAAGAACGUAGCGAAAUGCGAUACUUGGUGUGAAUUGCAGAAUCCCGUGAACCAUCGAGUCUUUGAACGCAAGUUGCGCCCGAAGCCAUCAGGUUGAGGGCACGUCUGCCUGGGCGUCACAUAUCGUUGCCCAAUGCCUAUUGCAGUGCAAUAGGAAUUUCUAGGGCGAAUGAUGGCUUCCCGUGAGCGUUGUUGCCUCGCGGUUGGUUGAAAAUCGAGUCCUUGGUAGGGUGUGCCAUGGUAGAUGGUGGUCGAGUUAGAACGAUCUCGAUCAUGUGCAUGCUCCCCAAAAUAUGGCCUCUAUGACCCACACGCGUCUUUUGACGCUCAUGACGAGACCUCAGGUCAGGCGGGGCUACCCGCUGAAUUUAAGCAUAUCAAUAAGCGGAGGA
rnacentral:misc_RNA from 1 species